rfam:Schizosaccharomyces cryophilus OY26 unplaced genomic scaffold supercont4.1, whole genome shotgun sequence.
GUCUACGGCCACACCUAGGCGAAAACACCAGCUCCCGUCCGAUCACUGCAAUUAAGUGAAAACGUCUGAAGGUCUCGUUAGUACUAUGGUAGAAGUCAACAUAGGAAUCCGGGGUGCUGUAGGCU